rnacentral:lncRNA from 1 species
AAGAAAUACAUAUUUGUAAACAAUUAUAAAAAAGCUCCAAUGUUAACAGUUUGAAAAAAACCAGUUAAGGAUAGACCACCUUUCAAAUACAUGUAACUGAUAACAAGAAUGUUAGUAAUGUAGAAUUACAAAUUUAACAAUAUAGGUCUCAUAUAUGGACUUCAACCUAGAAAACCGGCGUUGUUGUACAAUCCAGUCAAGACAACUCACAAUACAUUGCCACCAUAAAAGAGGGACGAAAUAUACCAGAGGGACAGUCAAACUCAUAAAUCGAAAAUAAACUGACAGCGCCAUGGCUAAAAAUGAAAAAAACAAACAGACAAACAAUAGUACACAUGACACAACAUAGACAACUAAAGAAUAAGCAACAUGAACCCCACCAAAAACUAGGGGUGAUCUCAGGUACUACGGAAGGGUAAGUAGAUCCUGCUGAACAUGUGGCAUUCAUGAAAGGGAAGGGGAUUGUAGCUACGACGUAAGAAACAUCCUAUAUCAUCUGUGAAACGGUUAUCCCAUAACGGUCAACCAACUCGUGAUGGCGUCCGUAAAAUUUACUCUUGGUUUAAUAGCUUCCUUGUGAGCAGCAGCCCUAUAUCAAGAAAAUCAUGAAAGGAAAUACAAGCACGGG